rnacentral:tRNA from 1 species
AUUGAAUUGUCAGAUUUAUGUAUUAAAUUUAGAAUUUAAUUAAGUGAUACUAAUCACAUUCAAUA